GGUGAACGCUGGCGGCGUGCUUAAGACAUGCAAGUCGAACGGCAGUCUUCGGACUGUAGUGGCGCACGGGUGAGUAACGCGUAACUGACCUACCCCACAGUCGCGGAUAACGAUUCGAAAGAAUCGCUAAUACGUGAUGUGCUGUCAGAUUGUGUUCUGCCAGUAAAGAUUGAUUGCUUUGGGAUGGGGUUGCGUUCCAUCAGCUAGUUGGUGGGGUAAAGGCCCACCAAGGCGACGACGGAUAGCCGGCCUGAGAGGGUGGCCGGCCACAGGGGCACUGAGACACGGGUCCCACUCCUACGGGAGGCAGCAGUUAGGAAUCUUCCACAAUGGGCGAAAGCCUGAUGGAGCGACGCCGCGUGAGGGAUGAAGGUCUUCGGAUCGUAAACCUCUGAAUCAGGGACGAAAGACACUUCGGUGGGAUGACGGUACCUGAGUAAUAGCACCGGCUAACUCCGUGCCAGCAGCCGCAGUAA
rnacentral:rRNA from 1 species